rnacentral:rRNA from 1 species
AUUGAACGCUGGCGGCAGGCCUAACACAUGCAAGUCGAACGGUAACAGGAAACAGCUUGCUGUUUCGCUGACGAGUGGCGGACGGGUGAGUAAUGUCUGGGAAACUGCCUGAUGGAGGGGGAUAACUACUGGAAACGGUAGCUAAUACCGCAUACGUCGCAAGACCAAAGAGGGGGACCUUCGGGCCUCUUGCCAUCGGAUGUGCCCAGAUGGGAUUAGCUAGUAGGUGGGGUAACGGCUCACCUAGGCGACGAUCCCUAGCUGGUCUGAGAGGAUGACCAGCCACACUGGAACUGAGACACGGUCCAGACUCCUACGGGAGGCAGCAGUGGGGAAUAUUGCACAAUGGGCGCAAGCCUGAUGCAGCCAUGCCGCGUGUAUGAAGAAGGCCUUCGGGUUGUAAAGUACUUUCAGCGGGGAGGAAGGGAGUAAAGUUAAUACCUUUGCUCAUUGACGUUACCCGCAGAAGAAGCACCGGCUAACUCCGUG